UACGUAGGGUGCAAGCGUUAAUCGGAAUUACUGGGCGUAAAGCGUGCGCAGGCGGUUUUGUAAGUCUGUUGUGAAAUCCCCGGGCUCAACCUGGGAAUGGCAAUGGAGACUGCAAGGCUAGAGUUUGGCAGAGGGGGGUAGAAUUCCACGUGUAGCAGUGAAAUGCGUAGAUAUGUGGAGGAACACCGAUGGCGAACGGCAGCCCCCUGGGUCAAAACUGACGCUCAUGCACGAAAGCGUGGGGAGCAAACAGG
rnacentral:rRNA from 1 species